rnacentral:lncRNA from 1 species
AUGUCUAAGUCGUUUACCCAGAAAAUAAAGCAAAUAUUUGAAUACAAUAUUCAGUUAUAUAUAAGUUUAAUUAUUUUUAAAAAUAUAGAUAAAAUCCCUGGAAUCUCUCAUCCUCUGGGUGAACAUAUUGUGAUUCCAGUUAUAUAUGAAUUACUGAUAAUACUUAAAAGUGCCUGUAAUCUUGUGGAAUUGAAACCAAUAUAAGUCAUAAUUUCCAAUGAAUUACUGUUGGGUUAGUGGGAUGUGACAGGAAGUAGUUUGUUAACAACUUGUGAUUCUUAUUUCUUCAUAGUUUUAUCAAGUUCCAAGAUAGCUUGAGUAAUCACAAUAGAAGGUGUUUGUGUAAGGCCUUGGAUUUAAUAUUCUCCAGCCAUUAACCACAUUUUUAUACCCUGCUUAUUGCCAGGAGGUUUAAUUCAGAAUUAAUACAAAUCUUUAGUUCCUAUAGGAAAAGUAAAUUGAAAUAUACUUUCAAUGGUUGGGAUAGGUGAGGUAUAUCUGCUUGGGUAUAAAGAACCACACAUUCAAAAAGGUUAUGACAACUAAUGCCCCAUUAGAAAGAAAAUAUAUAUUAUAUUUCAUAGUGUCAGCUGUUUAUAUCCUUUCCCCAUGUGCUCUUCAAAUCAAAUUGUAUCAGACAUCCACAGAUGAGUUAAACGUUUAUGUGGUUUAUUCCAAAAGGCUGAACUAGAUAGAUUUUGUUUUUAAAUGAAAAUGUUCUGGAACAUUCUGAAUGACAUUUGGGGCACUGGUGUGAUCAUGAGCAUGGUUUUCUAAUUAAUUUUUCUGCCAGUAGACAUAAACCAACCGAGAGUAAUUUAGCCUUGGUCAACACAAAUCAAAGAGAGAAAAUUGGAAAUUAUCCAAGCUAUCUGAAUUACUUUGCAGAACUAGAAUUUAACCUUCAAAGAUUUCUCUAUUGUUUUGUCUACAGAGAACGUGAACUUGAUGAUUCAACACUAACAAUUGAACUUGCUAGUGGUUAAAAAACAGCUGAUAAACUCUUCAGUUAUGUGAUCAAGUAAAUCAAUAUUUUAAAUAUUUAAAAC